rnacentral:lncRNA from 1 species
UAUAUAUUAUUCCUAUAUAUAUCAUCUAUCUAUGAAAAAAGUAAACAGAGUUCGUUUUUGGGUUCCCCGAAGCCCCGAAUGGAUUGGAUUGUUUCUGCUUCUGCCAACGAAAUGAAGGCCUCGCCCCUUCCGAAUGCUUCUCCGAUCCUGAAGUUCUCGCGAAGAGAAUAAGAUGCAGCUCCCCCUCCCUCUGUCUUUUUCCGCUUUGCUAAUCUUCCCCUCUAACGCGGGCCGGGCUUAGGCGGGCGCGGGAGGAAGAAAGAAAGUCGAAGAGCGUCUUCUCCUUUGUCCUUUUUUCAGUGCAACACAGGAAAGCACCCUCUUUUUGUAAUCCCUGCAGCUUCCGAGAGGCUUGCUUUUUUUUAUUGAACGCAUGGCGUAGCUAGGACCCCUCCAAUCAUGUUUGAGCCUAUGUUCACCCGGGGCCAAAAAAGGAGAAUUCUGGAAUGCCUGCCGACGUUCAGAUAAGGUGCAUAUCCCUUACCACUAAAGGAAAGGCUCGACGAAGGGGGGGAUAUUAGCUGGGUAAGGAAAACGCUUUCGGAGAUUGAGAUGUCGAUUUGUUUUUCAUCGAAAAGGAAGAAGGCCGAGGGGAUAGCAGCCUUCCUUCGGGCUUUGCCUGCCGACGUUCUAAUAAAGAAUUCCGGCUCGGCCCGGGAAAGCGCUGGCAACAACAUAAAGAAAGGGGUCCAUGUAGCUGCUGCGCCCGCCCACUGAGCAGCAGGUUCGGCAUCUACUACAAAAGAGAGAAUCCACUUCAGAUAACCACGUCUCUGCUAGGCAGCGUGUGGAAUGGCCGAGAGCGGACCAAAUGGAUAUAUAAUCCAAGCCGAGAGUGGAGUUACGUGAACAGCCGUCUGAUGGAAAACAACUUUCACGUUCGGUUCAGAGAGCACUUUUUUCGUUGAGAAUAAGUCCUUCCCUUUUGUGUGAAUUCCCCAGCGGCGAAUUAACAACUUGUGGGGCCCUAUCUAUUCAAUCUCUCGAGCCCCAAGAAAACCCCCCUCUCCCUCGGACUCAAUCUCUCUUUUGACUCUAUAUAUGUGUGCACCUGAUAUCUAUGAGGGUUCACCCACCCCGGUGACAGCAUUCCUUUCUAUUGCGCCUAAAAUCUCUAUUUCUGCAAAUAUGUCACGUGUUUCUAUUGUUGCUUCCUAUGGGGGUACAUUACAACAAAUCUUCUUUUUCUGCAGCAUUGCUUCUAUGAUCUUAGGAGCACUGGCCGCCAUGGCCCAAACGAAAGUCAAAAGACCUCUAGCUCAUAGUUCGAUUGGACAUGUAGGUUAUAUUCGUACUGGUUUCUCAUGUGGAACCAUAGAAGGAAUUCAAUCACUACUAAUUGGUAUAUUUAUUUAUGCAUCAAUGACGAUAGAUGCAUUCGCCAUAGUUCCAGCAUUACGGCAAACCCGUGUCAAAUAUAUAGCGGAUUUGGGCGCUCUAGCCAAAACGAAUCCUAUUUCGGCUAUGACCUUCUCCAUUACAAUGUUCUCAUACGCAGGAAUACCCCCGUUAGCCGGCUUUUGUAGCAAAUUCUAUUUGUUCUUCGCCGCUUUGGGUUGUGGGGCUUACUUCCUAGCCCCAGUGGGAGUAGUGACUAGCGUUAUAGGUCGUUGGGCGGCCGGAAGGUUGCCAUGAGUAAGGUUGGGAGACCGAAGGCAGUUUUCCGUGCACCGGACACGGAGCUUACCGAAUCAGUUGCAACACAGAUGGGAAUGCAUGCUACGAAAGACAGGGUCGAGUCUGAUACAUCAACCGUCGACUCCAUAUCCUUGUACGAGUCCACAAUCACUACACGAGAUGAACCUGGGUUUGGUGAAUGGAAGUUGGCCUUAGGUGUAAUAGGACUCCCAGUUACUGCGCGCGAUCGUAUACUGAGGUGCUCCCCGUCGGUUGUUGGAACGACGCGAGCCGGGCCGGGCCUCGAUUCCUUUCAAAAAGAUGAAGGGACAGAGGGGACUAAUUCCCCAUCUCAUUUGGGGCGGAAAACGAAUCGACAUCUCGAUGUGAUACAGCCCUUUCCAUUUUCGUUGGGAAAGAACGGCGAAGUCCAUCCGAACCCUCCAAUGAAGAAAUAAGAGGAGAGCAAAGCGCCAAUGGCGCGCGAAGCGCAUGCGGAAGGGGCACGGAGAAAUAAAGAAGUGUGGGGGAGAAGCAGCCGAGCUCAUUCCCUUCGCUUCCUGGGCCCAAAGCAGUGCUUUGUUUCCUGGCCAAAUCAAGGAUUUGGGGCUGAUUGCAAAAGAUAUCUGAAUAGAAAGAUAGAUCCAUCCAUCUAUCCAGAUAUCUAAAAAAGAAUCGAUUUCGAUUUCAUGAAACCUUUGAUUCAAAGAACUGCGCUUAGCCCCCCCGCUCAUGAAACGGCUCUGCUGCAAUGGAUGGCAGAGGGUCCGUAGUACCCGAAGCACUGGAGUGAUCCAGUAGCCGGGAAGGGGCCUAGAAGUGCCUACUACUACACCACACUACACUUGGCUCUACACAUUUACAGAGCUUACCCCUGUCCAGUGUCUGGCAGAACGUUGGGGGCUUCAAUCGUCGACUCGUUAUCCCCAUCUCAGCCCAGGCUAACGGAGCCUGACUUAUUCAGGGGAGAGAGUGGAGCCUAUCGAAGCACUCUUGAGAGUAAGAUCCUUGGCUCCUCUUCAUUCUCUACAGGGGUCUCUGCCCACAUGGAAGCGGGGCAGAGAUGGAUAAGAUCAAACACGGGAAUAAGAAGCAUUUGAAAUGCCUUUUUGAUCAUUUUGAUAGAGGGGGAUGGAUAAAGUGGGCAAAACAGACUCACAUUUUGCAAUCGAAAAGAUGGGUUCCUUUUUCGUCUCGACAAAGAAAGAAUCAUCUUGAAAACGCUCCUAAUCCCUUCGUAGGGCCGUGUAUAGUAAGUGAUCCGAACCUGCCCGGAGUGAGCCCCCCUUAGAGGCAAGUGAAGUUGGUGAGCCGUAUGAUGGGCAACUAUCUCCUGCGGUUCGGAGAGGACUCAGCUGUUAGUUAGUACCCCCUUGGUUUCGGGGUGGACCCUUUCACUCUAUUUUAUUAUAUACGCUUAGCGAAAAGAAUGUUUUUUGAUAGACCUAGGACAUGGAUUCUAUAUGAACCAAUGGAUCGUGACAAGUCGUUACUACUAGCAAUGACUUCCUCUUUCAUUACUUCAUCCUUUCCAUAUCCCUCUCCCUUGUUCGAUCUUACUCAUCAAAUGGCACUCAGUUCAUAUCUGUAAGUUCGUUCGAUCAUUGACAAGGUUCAAAGAAAGGGUGGGCCAUUCAUCAUGAAGGCUAAAAGCGAGAUAGGCUUUACUGGACAUUUUCGCUUACAAAGGCGAAGACAAUUCCGCGUUUUUUCAGCCGAUUCUCCGAAAUUUAAAACAAUUAUCCUCACUCAAACUUCAAAAAGUCCUUUUUUCUGAUGUAAAUUCUGUCUGUCUCCUUUGUCCUUCCUAACGCUAGUCUAGUAUCCGAUUAAAGGAUUGAUACGGGCGUGCUUCCUUGCAGAGGGUUGUUUUAGACACCUACCCACCAGAAACUUCGCUUUGCCACCCAGGUAUAACCAAAGCCUUGCACAAAGGAAUAUUUACUACUGGGUCCAUCACGUGUCCAGAUACCGGUGCAUCCCUUGCCGUUUCCCCAUCGGCUGAAGUUGGAUCAAAGUCCCCGGACGCGAAUGCUCAUUAUAGAAAGAACUAGGCCUACUUAGGUAAACAGGCACCCCAUCACUACCGUAGUAGUUGAAAUCUCUAACUUAGGUGCGUUUGCCCAUUACUUCUACCCAUCUACGCGAUUCUGAGAUCCAGCCAUUGGAACUGGGAGAUCCCCGCUGUUUGACCUACUCAAGUAGGCUUUCUAUUGAAUAUCCACCCGUGGUAAUUGCUUGACUGGUAGAAGCACCAAGCUUUGGUACUAUAGUCGUACUCGAGACCCUAUUGAGCUGCUUAGUCUUCUCCUUUCUUUGAUGAUCUUCAACACAUCUAUUUGAAUUCCCUGCGAGUGAAGGAUUUCUCGUAUGGAGAAAAACCUCUUGAGCGCUAUCUGAUCUUAUUUUUGUAUUUCAAAUAUGGGACCUGCCUUUUUAAUGGGACAUCCCGGCAACAGGCCUACUCAUGCAUGUGGCCAAGUACUCGACCAAUCCUCGGAGCGAAGGGAUGAACGAAUUCUCGAGGUCUGGUUCAUUGAGGUCAGCAUCACAUGAAACCUUUAGCACUUCCGUUCGAUAUUGGAUGGAGUAUGGCUGGAAGGUCAGCCUAGCUAGUCUUGUCAAUCGGCCCUGACUCGUCUUCUCCUUGGUACCUACCGCUAUUGAACUUCGGUACCUAUAUUCCUGAAACAAGACAGACCUUCAUGAAGACCUUCUAUUUUGGAAUAAGAUCGGACAUUUCCACAUUGAGGUGAAAUUACAUAUGAGGAAAAUAUUCCUGGACUACGAAAGCUGCCCUUGUGUGGUAGAACCAGGUCUUCCACCGGGCGGUCAGCCAAGUACUGAAGCCCCUAUCUUGAUAUAGAAUAGAAGUGAGUUCACACUAAAAAUAGAAGAAGCCCUAUGAUUUUUUAGCCCUGCUAUCAAUCACUUCGGUAAAGGGAUCGAAAGAUUAUGGUCUGAAAUAGAGAUUUGAGAGUCCCUCGUGUGAGUACGUGCUGAAGAGCAAGGAGUGAAAGUGCGUUCAUCUUUCUUUCUGCUAGUUGUUUCCUGCUAAUAGUGAUUAGUGAGUGCCCCAUACAUAGCCAAUGUCCGCCCGUGUUCACAUCCAGUCUUCUCUGUACACUAGUGCAGCUUCCAGCUCUAUGCUAUGUAUGGUAGUCGUUUGACUCGGGAAUCCCUGAUAAAAGCUUUUAGUCCGUGCCUGGCAGUUUCAGCCGUGGUCCAGUCCAGCAGCCUCUUUUCGAUCCAAGAGUCGCAUGAGAAGAAAGCUUCCGGUUAGCUUCAGUUAGUGUUAGUUAAAUAGAACGGGAACCUCGUAACUAUGCCAAGCCCGAUCUUGGUUCCAAUGCUGCAGAGAAAGGUUAUGGGUAAAAAGAAGG